AUGCAAUUAGCGGAAUGUUUUAUUCAAACCAAUGCAGAACCAAAAUGGAUGUUUUUCUGUUUAUAUCCGCUUCCUCCCAAAUCGAGAUCUAUUGUUUAUAAGUCUAGCAAUAAAGUAGGGACUUCAAAUUAGUGAACUUAUAAGAGAGUUAUACAUCAGAACAAUAAUCUUGCUUAUCUAUUAAAAAAAAGUGAAUUAGGACCAGCAGAUUUAGCAAUGUGUCAGGCAUAUUUGGUACGAUAAGUCAUGGAUACACUUCUUGAUAGUGGGUCUCACGAGCAACCAACGAGGGAUGGUCAUAAUAAAGUAUACACAUCACUUUCAGAUAUAAUUGAAAAUAAAGAGGGAUGGUUUAGCGGGACUCUGCUUGGGAAACAGGUCAAUUACUCGUGGUGUCCUGUCAUUAUUGUGGGUCAUUUGCUUUCAUUACAUCAAUGUGGAUUACCAAUGAGAUAGAGAUACAUCUUUUUAGCUAUUUGUAAUUCGAGAUUUAAUCACAAAACACAAUACUUCUAA
rnacentral:rRNA from 1 species